rnacentral:rRNA from 1 species
GAUGAACGCUGGCGGCGUGCCUAAUACAUGCAAGUCGAGCGAACAGAUAAGGAGCUUGCUCCUUUGACGUUAGCGGCGGACGGGUGAGUAACACGUGGGUAACCUACCUAUAAGACUGGGAUAACUUCGGGAAACCGGAGCUAAUACCGGAUAACAUUUGGAACCGCAUGGUUCUAAAGUGAAAGAUGGUUUUGCUAUCACUUAUAGAUGGACCCGCGCCGUAUUAGCUAGUUGGUAAGGUAACGGCUUACCAAGGCGACGAUACGUAGCCGACCUGAGAGGGUGAUCGGCCACACUGGAACUGAGACACGGUCCAGACUCCUACGGGAGGCAGCAGUAGGGAAUCUUCCGCAAUGGGCGAAAGCCUGACGGGGCAACGCCGCGUGAGUGAUGAAGGGUUUCGGCUCGUAAAACUCUGUUAUUAGGGAAGAACAAAUGUGUAAGUAACUGUGCACGUCUUGACGGUACCUAAUCAGAAAGCCACGGCUAACUACGU